UGGGGUGUGGUCGGGCGCGGGCUCGCGCCUUUGCGGCGCGUCACGGGCGCGCUCGACACGCGUCACCCCGA
rnacentral:tRNA from 1 species